GUGAAGCGGGAAGAGCUCAAAUUUGAAAUCUGGCAGUUUUCAACUGUCCGAGUUGUAAUCUAGAGAAGUGUUACCUGUGCUGGACCGUGUAAAAGUCUCCUGGAAUGGAGCAUCAUAGAGGGUGAGAAUCCCGUCUUUGACAUGGACUACCAGUAUGUUAUGGUAUGCUCUCAAAGAGUCGAGUUGUUUGGGAAUGCAGCUCAAAAUGGGUGGUAAAUGCCAUCUAAAGCUAAAUAUUGGCGAGAGACCGAUAGCGAACAAGUACCGUGAGGGAAAGAUGAAAAGAACUUUGGAAAGAGAGUUAAACAGUACGUGAAAUUGCUGAAAGGGAAACGCUUGAAGUCAGUCACAUUGGCCAGAAAUCAGCCUUGCUUUUGCUUGGUGUAUUUUCUGGUUUGAUGGGUCAGCAUCAAUUUUGACUGCUGGAUAAAGUCUUUGGGAAUGUGGCAUCUUUGGAUGUGUUAUAGCCCAUUGUCGCAUACAGUGGUUGGGAUUGAGGAACUCAGCAUGCCACAAUGGCCGGGUUUCGACCACGUUCAUGCUUAGGAUGCUGGCAAAAUGGCUUUAAUCGACCCGUCUUGAAACACGGACCAAGGAGUCUAACAUACCUGCAAGUGUUUGGGUGAAAAACCCAUGCGCGUAAUGAAAGUGAAAGUUGAGAUCCUUUUCUAAGGAGCAUUGACGCCCAGACCAGACCUUUUGUGACGGAUCUGCGGUAGAGCAUGUAUGUUGGGACCCGAAAGAUGGUGAACUAUGCCUGAAUAGGGUGAAGCCAGAGGAAACUCUGGUGGAGGCUCGUAGCGAUUCUGACGUGCAAAUCGAUCGUCAAAUUUGGG
rnacentral:rRNA from 1 species